rnacentral:rRNA from 1 species
CACAAGCGGUGGAUGAUGUGGAUUAAUUUCGAUGCAACGCGAAAACCUUACCUACCCUUGACAUGGUCGGAAUCCCGCCAGAGAUGUGGGAGUGCUCGAAAGAGAACCGGCACACAGGUGCUGCAUGGCUGUCGUCAGCUCGUGUCGUGAGAUGUUGGGUUAAGUCCCGCAACGAGCGCAACCCUUGUCAUUAGUUGCUACGAAAGGGCACUCUAAUGAGACUGCCGGUGACAAACCGGAGGAAGGUGGGGAUGACGUCAAGUCCUCAUGGCCCUUAUGGGUAGGGCUUCACACGUCAUACAAUGGUCGGUACAGAGGGCUGCCAACCCGCAAGGGGGAGCCAAUCCCUUAAAACCGAUCGUAGUCCGGAUUGAGGUCUGCAACUCGACCUCAUGAAGUCGGAAUCGCUAGUAAUCGCGGAUCAGCAUACUGCGGUGAAUACGUUCCCGGGCCUU